GCACCUGGCUCCUGCCUUCGGAUCAGCGAGAUGCACCAGCCACAGCGGCCAUUGGAUGGUGAACCAGCGGCAAAAAGGAAGACCCUUCUCUCUGUCUCUCUCUCUUGCUAUCCACUCUGCCUGUCAAAAAUAAAUAAAUAAAUAAAUGGAAAUCUUUUUUUUUCUUUUUUUGAGAUUAUUUAUUUGAAAGGCAGAGUUACACACAGAGAAGGAGAGGCAGAGAGAGAGAGAGAGAGAAAGAGGUCUUCCAUCUGCUGGUUCACUCCCCAGUUGGCUGCAAUGGCUGAAGCUGUGCCAGUUUGGAGUCAGGAGAUUCUUCCAGGUCUCUCAAAUGGGUGCAGGGCCCAAGGACUUGGGCCAUCCUCUACUGCUUUCCCAGGCCAUAGCAGAGAGCUAGAUUGAAAGUGGAGCAUCCAGGACUCGAACCUGUGCCCAUAUGGGAUGCUGGCAAUGCAGGCAGCAGCUUGACCCACUACACCACAGCGCCAGCCCCCAAAUACAAAUCUUUAUUAUACAAGGGCCUUGUAUGGAAAAUGGGCAAAGAGUAUACACUAAAAAUUCACAGAAAUACAAAUAAAUAUAAAUGCAAAGUCAAGCUCAAACCAGCAAUCUGAAAAAUGCAAAAGUGAUUUUUAAAACAGAAAAGUAAAAGUUUCUGUUUAGCUUUGCAGAUGUGCUGUUGCCAGUGUCUGGCGUUGGUGAGGCUGAUGGGAAAUGAAGUUGGAGCAGUGUUAGAGUUCCACUUCCGGGUGUCUGACCCAGAGAGUGAAGAGGCUUGGAACAAGGGCAGUAAUGCAGCAGAGUUUGAAAUCUCUCAAGAGAACCAGUUAAAUAAAUUGAAUGUGCGGGCUCAGAUACCUGGCAGGCGUCAAAAGGAAGAUGUGUGAACGUAGAAAACAUAUUUCCUCCAGGAAGGACCACCACCAGUGGCUCGUGGGGAUGAAGGUUUGAGGCCACCGCACCUAGAACACGUCCCUGAUCCUGAGAAGCAGUGUGGAGACAGGAAUGUGGAGUCACGGCUGAACAUCCUCCCUUGCGAUGGGGAAAGCAGUACCCCACUGUGGCUCUGGUAUCUGCCUUUGAUCACGCCGAUCUCCACCCUCAGCUGCUCCCUCUGUUCCUGUGUCA